AGCAGCCGCGGUAAUUCCAGCUCCAAUAGCGUAUAUUAAAGUUGCUGCAGUUAAAAAGCUCGUAGUUGAAUUUCGGGACCGAUAUAUCGGUCGUGCCUCGGUACGUACUGGUAUUUUCGGUUUCUACCUUCUGACGAACCUUGAUGUCAUUAAUUUGGUGUCUUGGGAAAUCAGGACUGUUACUUUGAAAAAAUUAGAGUGUUUAAAGCAGGCUCACGCUUGAAUACAUUAGCAUGGAAUAAUGAAAUAGGACGUUUGAUUCUAUUUUGUUGGUUUCUAGGAUCGACGUAAUGAUUAAUAGGGAUAGUUGGGGGCAUUAGUAUUCAAUUGUCAGAGGUGAAAUUCUUGGAUUUAUUGAAGACUAACUACUGCGAAAGCAUUUGCCAAGGAUGUUUUCAUUAAUCAAGAACGAAGUUAGGGAUCGAAGACGAUCAGAUACCGUCGUAGUCUUAACCAUAAACUAUGCCGAUAGGGAUCGGAUGAUGUUAAUUUUUAAUGUACUCAUUCGGCGUCCGUUACG
rnacentral:rRNA from 1 species